CAGCCGCCGCGGGAAUACAGAGGGUGCGAGCGUUAAUCGGAUUUACUGGGCGUAAAGCGUGCGUAGGCGGCUAAUUGAGUCGGAUGUGAAAUCCCCGAGCUUAACUUGGGAAUUGCAUUCGAUACUGGUUAGCUAGAGUGUGGGAGAGGAUGGUAGAAUUCCAGGUGUAGCGGUGAAAUGCGUAGAGAUCUGGAGGAAUACCGAUGGCGAAGGCAGCCAUCUGGCCUAACACUGACGCUGAGGUACGAAAGCAUGGGGAGCAAACAGGAUUAGAUACCCGAGUAGUCCCUGUCUCUUAUAU
rnacentral:rRNA from 1 species